UGGAGAACUGAGGGGGGCUGCUCCUAGUACGAGAGGACCGGAGUGGACGCAUCACUGGUGUUCGGGUUGUCAUGCCAAUGGCACUGCCCGGUAGCUAAAUGCGGAAGAGAUAAGUGCUGAAAGCAUCUAAGCACGAAACUUGCCCCGAGAUGAGUUCUCCCUGAGACUUAAAGUCUCCUGAAGGAACGUUGAAGACGACGACGUUGAUAGGCCGGGUGUGUAAGCGCAGCGAUGCGUUGAGCUAACCGGUACUAAUGAACCGUGAGGCUUAACCUUACAACGCCGAAG
rnacentral:rRNA from 1 species